rnacentral:rRNA from 1 species
CUACGGGGUGCAGCAGUGGGGAAUAUUGCACAAUGGAGGAAACUCUGAUGCAGCAACGCCGCGUGGAGGAUGACACUUUUCGGAGCGUAAACUCCUUUUAUAUAGGAAGAAGAUGACGGUACUAUAUGAAUAAGCGCCGGCUGACUCCGCGCCAGCAGCCGCGGUAAUACGGAGGGCGCAAGCGUUACUCGGAAUCACUGGGCGUAAAGAGCGUGUAGGCGGAUUAAAAAGUCAGAAGUGAAAUCCUAUAGCUUAACUAUAGAACUGCUUCUGAAACUCUUAAUCUAGAAUAUGGGAGAGGUAGAUGGAAUGUCUGGUGUAGGGGUAAAAUCCGUAGAGAUCAGAAGGAAUACCGAUUGCGAAGGCGAUCUACUAGAACAUUAUUGACGCUGAGACGCGAAAGCGUGGGGAGCAAACAGGAUUAGAUACCCCUGUAGUC